UUCAGACCCAGCACAGUGUUUAUGUU
rnacentral:piRNA from 1 species